UACGUAGGGUGCAAGCGUUAAUCGGAAUUACUGGGCGUAAAGCGUGCGCAGGCGGCUUUGCAAGUCAGAUGUGAAAGCCCCGGGCUUAACCUGGGAAUGGCCAUGGAAACUGGCGAGCUGGAGUGUGGCAGAGGGGGGUGGAAUUCCGCGUGUAGCAGUGAAAUGCGUAGAGAUGCGGAGGAACACCGAUGGCGAAGGCAGCCCCCUGGGCUAACACUGACGCUCAGGCACGAAAGCGUGGGGAGCAAACAGG
rnacentral:rRNA from 1 species